rnacentral:rRNA from 1 species
UACGUAGGGUGCAAGCGUUGUCCGGAAUUAUUGGGCGUAAAGAGCUCGUAGGCGGUUUGUCGCGUCGGCUGUGAAAACCUGAGGCUCAACCUCAGGCCUGCAGUCGAUACGGGCGGACUUGAGUACUGCAGGGGAGACUGGAAUUCCUGGUGUAGCGGUGAAAUGCGCAGAUAUCAGGAGGAACACUGGUGGCGAAGGCGGGUCUCUGGGCAGUAACUGACGCUGAGGAGCGAAAGCGUGGGGAGCGAACAGG